rnacentral:rRNA from 1 species
UACCUAUCGUUGCUUCGGCGGACUCGCCCCAGCCGGACGCGGACUGGACCAGCGGCCGCCGGGGACCAUCAAACUCUUGUAUUAUCAGCAUCUUCUGAAUACGCCGCAAGGCAAAACAAAUAAAUUAAAACUUUCAACAACGGAUCUCUUGGCUCUGGCAUCGAUGAAGAACGCAGCGAAAUGCGAUAAGUAAUGUGAAUUGCAGAAUCCAGUGAAUCAUCGAAUCUUUGAACGCACAUUGCGCCCGCCAGCAUUCUGGCGGGCAUGCCUGUUCGAGCGUCAUUUCAACCCUCGACCUCCCUUUGGGGAAGUCGGCGUUGGGGACCGGCAGCACACCGCCGGCCCUGAAAUGGAGUGGCGGCCCGUCCGCGGCGACCUCUGCGUAGUAAACCAACUCGCACCGGAACCCCGACGUGGCCACGCCGUAAAACACCCAACUUCUGAACGUUGACCUCGAAUCAGGUAGGACUACCCGCUGAACUUAAGCAUAUCAAUAA